rnacentral:misc_RNA from 1 species
UACAAGACAAAAGACAUUUGCACGUGUAGUGUUUGGUAGAAAAAAAUUGGAAAAGUGGGAGAAUUUGUGUAAUAUUUUAUAAUAAUUAAAUAUAACAAUGCCUGAAGAUGAAGGUAUUGAUAAAAAGAAAUCCCAUCGCGCUCGCCAAUCCGGAGUUAAGGCGGAGAAAAAGAAAUUGAAAGCUAAAAAAGAGUCAAACCAAAAAGAACCCAACUUAACGGCACGCCAACGGAAUCCCAAAGCAUUUGCCAUCAAUUCUGCUCAAAGAGCUGAAAGAAACUUUCGGCGCAAAGAGGAUAUAACAGCGAAGAAGCAACACAUACCGGUAGUAGAUCAAACUCCAGAUGAGCCACCACCUGUAUUGAUAGCUGUUGUUGGUCCACCAAAAGUGGGCAAAACCACUUUAAUUAACAAUUUAAUCAAAACCUUCACAAAAACUAAUGUGAAUGAUAUUAAAGGUCCUAUAACCAUAGUCACUUCCAAGAAGAGACGCAUUACCCUCUUGGAAUGCAACAAUGAUAUCAAUUCCAUGAUUGAUGUAGCCAAGUGUGCUGACUUGGUGUUGCUAAUGUGUGAUGCCAGUUAUGGUUUUGAGAUGGAAAUUUUUGAAUUCCUCAACAUUUGCCAGGUUCAUGGUAUGCCCAAGAUAAUGGGCGUUCUUACUCAUUUGGAUAUGAUUAAAAAUCCCAAAGCGUUAAGAAAACGCAAAAAGGAACUUAAACAUCGUUUUUGGACAGAAGUUUAUGAUGGCGCCAAAUUGUUCUAUUUGUCUGGUUUGCUUCAUGGUGAAUAUUUAAGGAAUGAAGUUAAGAAUUUGGGACGUUUUAUAUCGGUAAUGAAGUUUAGACCCCUACAGUGGCGUGGAGCACACAGCUAUGUGAUAGUAGAUCGUGUAGAAGAUAUUACAAAUACCGAUACCAUACGCCGUAAUCCAAAAUGUGAUCGAGAUGUGGUGUUAUAUGGUUAUGUUCGCGGUGUUCCUUUGAAACAGGAACAUAUGGUACAUAUAGCAGGUUUGGGUGAUGUCCGCAUUAAUGAAUUAAAUGUUAUACCAGAUCCUUGUCCUUUGCCGGGUACUGAGAAAAAACGUACUUUGCUGGAAAAGGAACGUUUGCUCUAUGCUCCCAUGUCUGGUGUGGGUGGUAUUGUUUACGACAAGGAUGCUGUGUAUAUAGAAUUACAAGGAUCUCAUAGCCAUAAAGAGAAGAGUGCAGAUGCCACUGAACAGGAGGAAUUGGUGGGAAAGCUUAUAGAAAAGAAACAGACGGUAGAUGAACAAAUUGAUGAGCAAGAAUUCAGAUUGUUUUCUGAUGGUCAAGCAAUCAAAUCAAAAGAUUAUGUGGAAGAUGAUCCUGAGAAUAGCGAAGAGGAAGUUGAUGAGGAUGAUUCUGGUGUUGAUGACGAUGAAGAAUCAGAUAGCAAUGAAAAGGAUGAUGAAUUCGAGGCAGAUGACUGGCGCAAUGAAGAUUCCGAAGAGGAACCUAAAGAUGAUAGCAACUCCGAACAGGAUUCAUCAGAUGAUGAUGACUAUCAAGAUUUAGAAAAGAUUACAAAAACUAAAAAAUCGAAAUUCAAUGCUGACAGUGAUGAUAGCGAAGAAGAAAAUGGCAUUGAAGAUGAAGAUAGUAGUGAUGAUGACGAUGCUGAUCAGGAAGCUAUAUUAGCAAACAGCAUGAGUUGGAAAGAAAAUCUAGCUGAGAAAGCUAGAGAUGCAUUUUUACAACGUCAUUCAGAAUCAAAGAACUUAAUGCGUCUGGUCUAUGGCUGUUAUCUUCAAAGUGAGCGCAAAAAGGAUGACGAAAAUAUGGAUCAACAAGAAUCGGAAAAUUCCGAUGAUGACGAAAUCGGUGGUCUCUUCAAGGUGGCGGCUAAAAAGCAAACACAAAUGCAGAAAGAUAAAGACAUACGUGAUAAAGAUGAGUCGUGCUUUUUCCAAGACAGCUUUGAAACUACUAGAAAUUGGUUGCAAGACAGUAAUAAAGACUUGAUAAAGAACUGUUUUGUUACGGGCAAGUGGAAAGCUUCUGAAGAUGCAGAAAAUCUUUUACGUUUAGACGACAUGAGUGAUGCAGAAAGUGAAGUUUAUGGUGAUUUUGAAGAUUUAGAAACGGGUGAAAAACAAAGUGGUAAACCUAAAGAUUUAGAAGACGAUGCUACCAAGAAUGAAACAGAGGAAUCGGAAAAUAGAAAACGUAAAAUGACUCGUGUGGAGGAAGAAAAUCUUACAAAAGCUGAAAUAAUGGCAAAAAAAUUAAAGCUUAAGGCCAAAUUUGAUGCUGAGUACGACAAUAAGGGAGAAAAAGAAGACGAUGGCCGUAUCACGGGUGACCACGAUUACUAUGAAAGCCUUAAAGCGGAAGCUCAAAAACAAUCACAACUGAAUAAAAGUGAAUUUGAAAAUCUUGAUAACGAUUUGCGUAUACAAAUUGAAGGCUAUAGAGCAGGUUUAUACGUGCGUUUGGGUUUCAAAGAUCUACCAGCUGAGUUUAUAGAAAACUUUGAUCCCACAUAUCCUGUGUUGAUUGGCGGUCUUAACAUGUCAGAAGAAAACAUCGGUUAUGUAAACUGCAAAGUUAAGAAACACAGAUGGUACAAAAAGAUUUUAAAAUCUGGUGAUCCCAUUAUAAUAUCUAUGGGUUGGAGACGAUUCCAAACGGUCGCAGUUUACGCUAAAGUGGAAGAUAAUUUCCGUCAUCGUUUUUUGAAAUAUACUCCCGAACAUGUUACCUGUAGCAUGACUUUUUGGGGGCCAAUUACACCUCAAAAUACUGGUUUCUUGGCUUUGCAAACUGUGCGUCAUGAUCAGGAGGAAUUAAAAAGAAUAGGCUUUCGCAUUGCGGCAACUGGUUGUGUUACAGAACUCGAUAAAUCGUGCCAAAUUAUGAAGAAACUAAAACUUGUAGGUCAUCCUUUCAAAAUCUACAAAAAAUCUGCAUUUAUUAAGGGUAUGUUCAAUACUAGCUUGGAAGUCGCGAAAUUCGAAGGUGCUAAAAUUAAAACCGUGUCCGGUAUCCGAGGUCAAAUUAAAAAGUCCCAUCACACACCCGAAGGCUCAUUCAGGGCAACAUUUGAAGAUAAGAUUUUAUUGAGUGAUAUUGUAUUUUGCAGAACAUGGUUCCGUGUGGAUGUGCAUCGUUUUUACGCUCCUGUUACUACACUUUUACUCCCACCAGAGCAAAAACUAUUCUGGCAGGGUAUGAAGACUUUGGGACAAUUAAAACGAGAGCGGGAAAUUAAAAAUGAAGUUCAGCCCGAUAGUUUGUAUACUGAAAUCAAACGCACACCUAAGGUGUUUAAACCUUUGGUCAUACCAAAGGCUUUACAAAGAGCUCUACCUUAUAAAGAUAAACCUAAAGCUGGCCCUCUAAAUCCUAAAGAGAAAGAAGAACGCGUAGCUGUCAUACGAUCACCUCACGAACAAAAGGUUGCUAAACUAAUGAACAUGAUUGAAACAAAUUAUCAAGAAAAGCGUAAUAAGGACAGACAUGACACCAAAGUACGCGUGAAGAAAUUCAAGUUACAGAAAAAGGCCGAAGAACUUUCAAAACUGAAGCGUCAAAAAGAGUUGCGUAAAAAGGUUUCCCGAGCUUUAAGUAAAAUGAAGGGAAAACAAAAACAAUGAUAAAGGAUCCCUGCCAGUUUAGGUUACACGUUUGUCUUAACACAACAACUUUUUGAUGGGGUUUCAAUAGAAAACAUGAUGAGUUAUUGAAAGUAAUUUGACGCUUCAUUGCAUCUUGUUUAUCACCUUGGUAAAUCACCAUAGUGACCAAACACCAAAUUCUUAAUGUGACGUCAGUAUGAAAUGCAUUUCAUGGCUUGCAAUACAACUGGAAGGAAACCAAAUAUUUAGUAUAAAGUUUUAAGCGGAAAUGGAGUAUAAUAUAUUUGAACGCACUGUGAGUUGGUUUAAAGAUACAUUCACAACAAAACAAUAGGUCUUAUUAGAAAUAAAUUCGCCGUACUAUAAUGUCAAAUUUAUCCGAUACUUUACAAGCAACGUGUGAGAAGAGAAUUCAAAUUGGAAUUUUGUGCUCAUGAGAAAGAAUUUGGCAAGAAUUCUUCUUUUGUGAAUCAAUAUAAAUUCCAUUAUUCAUUUUUAAUGAAUAAAAAUGUGUGGUCGGUUGGGUUUUAUGAAUUUUCCCCCCAAAGAGAAUAGAAAAUUCUUGUAGUAAACAAUAAAGAUGAAUUCGCCUUGAGUAAAGAAACAGCACUCUCAUCCCUCUCUGAUUGUUGGAACACACCAGUGCAAGAAGCCACUAUGUGAUGGAAUUUCAUGUUUUUAAAUUUUUAGUCUCAGUGCUCAUGCGACGCGUAUACAACACGUUUACGGGAGAUUGAAGUAAUAAAUGCGAUACGUGUUGAUUGUGUAGUUUGUAUAUUUUGUUUAAAUGGUUAAAUUAUUAAAUGAAGGAAAAUCAAAUGGUUUCCCUCGCCCAAAAAAUACACACUUGCCGUAUGUACCAGUGAAAAAGUGAAUAAAAGAAAAGAAUUAUAAGAAAAAAUACAACAAAAAGAAGUACCUAUGUAAUUAAAAAAAACAUACUACAUACAAUACCCUUACAACUUGAAAACAAAAACAAAAUUAAAUUACAAUAAAAAAUUUGUUAAAAUUCUUAGUAAAUAGGUUUGGUUUGUGUUAAAAACAGCAUUUUAUUAACUAACUUUAACAAACGUGUAUAUACAACUUUUAUUGUUUGCUGUCUGACAUAAGUCCACGUUGUCGUCAUCAGUAGUAACAUCAAAAUUA